AGAGUUUGAUCCUGGCUCAGGAUGAACGCUGGCGGUAUGCUUAACACAUGCAAGUCGAACGGAGUACUUCGGUACUUAGUGGCGGACGGGUGAGUAACGCGUGAGAAUCUGCCUUCAGGUUCGGGACAACCACUGGAAACGGUGGCUAAUACCGAAUGUGCAGCAAUGUGAAAAAUUUAUUGCCUGAAGAUGAGCUCGCGUCUGAUUAGCUAGUAGGUGUGGUAAGAGCGCACCUAGGCGACGAUCAGUAGCUGGUCUGAGAGGAUGAUCAGCCACACUGGGACUGAGACACGGCCCAGACUCCUACGGGAGGCAGCAGUGGGGAAUUUUCCGCAAUGGGCGAAAGCCUGACGGAGCAAUACCGCGUGAGGGAGGAAGGCUCUUGGGUUGUAAACCUCUUUUCUCAAGGAAGAAAAAAAUGACGGUACUUGAGGAAUAAGCAUCGGCUAACUCCGUGCCAGCAGCCGCGGUAAUACGGAGGAUGCAAGCGUUAUCCGGAAUGAUUGGGCGUAAAGCGUCCGCAGGUGGCUAUGUAAGUCUGCUGUUAAAGAGUCUGGCUCAACCAGAUAAAGGCAGUGGAAACUACAUGGCUAGAGUGCGUUCGGGGCAGAGGGAAUUCCUGGUGUAGCGGUGAAAUGCGUAGAGAUCAGGAAGAACACCGGUGGCGAAAGCGCUCUGCUAGGCCGCAACUGACACUGAGGGACGAAAGCUAGGGGAGCGAAUGGGAUUAGAUACCCCAGUAGUCC
rnacentral:rRNA from 1 species